AACGUAGGACGCAAGCGUUAUCCGGAAUUACUGGGCGUAAAGCGCGCGUAGGCGGACCUGCAAGUCGGGGGUGAAAGCCCGGAGGACUCAACCUCGGACUGCCUCGAUACUGGCGGUCGUCGACGGUCCGGAGAGGUGAGUGGAACUGCGAGUGUAGAGGUGAAAUCGUAGAUAUUCGCAAGAACACCAGUGGCGAAGGCGGCUCACUGGCCCGGUACUGACGCUGAGGUGCGAAAGCGUGGGGAGCAAACAGG
rnacentral:rRNA from 1 species